UGGACUAAUGAUGACCACUGGUGGCAUCUGAGUCAUGGACGAUAAAUAGUACAUGUCUAGAACCCUUAGGCCCAA
ensembl:snoRNA small nucleolar RNA SNORD113/SNORD114 family